rnacentral:misc_RNA from 1 species
UCCGCAUCGUACACACCGCCCGUCGCUCCUACCGAUUUCGAGUGUUCAGGUGAACCUUCUGGACUGAGUCGCAAGACCCGGGAAGUUAGGUAAAUCUUAACACUUAGAGGAAGGAGAAGUCGUAACAAGGUUUCCGUAGGUGAACCUGCAGAAGGAUCAAUGAUCCUUCUGCAGGUUCACCUACAAAACCUUGUUACGACUUUUACUUCCUCUAAAUGAUCAAGCUUGAACUUCUUCUCAGUCCCGGCACAUGCUUUCGCACGAGCUGGGCCCGAUCCGAGCAUCUCGCUAAACCAUUCAAUCGGUAGUAGC